CGUCCUAAUAUACACAGAGAUAGCCAGCUGCGCAUGCGCUACGGGCGCGGACUUUCCUCCGCGCAGGCGCGUCGCAGCGCGAUCCAGGAGUCUGGACGGCGGGCCAGGGCUGAGAAGCUGAGCUCGGUGGCUGCGGCCAUAGGUCCAGUUUGGGCGGGCAGAUGGGAGCCAAGGAGCCAGCCAGCCUGACCCUUAGGAGAAGUCACCCACUUCCAGGAAGCUCUGCCAGCUGGCCACAGCCUCAGGAGUGUUCAACGAGGAGUUCCUGUUGUGGCUCA